rnacentral:hammerhead_ribozyme from 1 species
AAGCGAAACCGCCGGGAGGCGGUCUGCCAGGCGUGGCGGCCUGGCACUGACGAGCAGCCACAG